CGGCGGACGGGUGAGUAACACGUGGAUAACCUACCUAUAAGACUGGGAUAACUUCGGGAAACCGGAGCUAAUACCGGAUAAUAUAUUGAACCGCAUGGUUCAAUAGUGAAAGACGGUUUUGCUGUCACUUAUAGAUGGAUCCGCGCCGCAUUAGCUAGUUGGUAAGGUAACGGCUUACCAAGGCAACGAUGCGUAGCCGACCUGAGAGGGUGAUCGGCCACACUGGAACCGCGACACGGUCCAG
rnacentral:rRNA from 1 species